rnacentral:lncRNA from 1 species
ACGGUGGAGACGAGGUUCAGAAUGUGAAGGACUUAGAAUUACUUCAACGAUUACAGUUAGAUAAUGACAGUGAUGACGACAUUCCUUCUUCGGAGCACGAGCUUGACUAUAUCGACACGCGUGAUAGUGAUGAUGAGACUUAUGAUCCAGCUAAUCCCGAUCAUGAUGAUUAUUUCUAAUACAUGUAUGAUUCGUAAUAAUUUAGCUAUAAUUACUUGUAAUUUGCAUAUAUUUGUAAUUAUGUUUUGUUUGCCUAUGCUGACUCGUGUACUCUUUUUAAUUGCAGGUCAUUAAGCAAUGGUGGGCGGUAUCAGGAAGCUCACGUCGAUUUGCGAGAGACUGGCCGCGGCAGGGACUGGUUCAGGGUCAGGGUCACGUUCAGGGAGUGGUCGAGGGAGGCGUCGAGGCAGGCCUCGACGUAGGGUUGAGGAGGAGGAGGAGGAGGAGGAGCAGGAGGUGGUCCAGAGGCCUCGAGGGAAAGGUAAAGCGGCGAGGCCCCCGUCGCCUGAACCUGAGGUGGAGGAGGAGGAGGAGGAGGAGGAGGAGGAGG